GAUCCUGGCUCAGAACGAACGCUGGCGGCAGGCCUAACACAUGCAAGUCGAGCGCACCUUCGGGUGAGCGGCGGACGGGUGAGUAUCGCGUGGGAACGUGCCCUUCUCUACGGAAUAGUCCUGGGAAACUGGGGGUAAUACCGUAUACGCCCUUUGGGGGAAAGAUUUAUCGGAGAAGGAUCGGCCCGCGUUGGAUUAGGUAGUUGGUGGGGUAAUGGCUCACCAAGCCGACGAUCCAUAGCUGGUUUGAGAGG
rnacentral:rRNA from 1 species